rnacentral:misc_RNA from 1 species
UAUGAAGAACGUAGCGAAAUGCGAUACGUAAUGUGAAUUGCAGAAUUCAGUGAAUCAUCGAGUCUUUGAACGCACAUUGCGCCCUCUGGUAUUCCGGAGGGCAUGCCUGUCCGAGCGUCAUUGCUGCCCUCAAGCACGGCUUGUGUGUUGGGCUCCGUCCCCCGAUCCCGGGGGACGGGCCCGAAAGGCAGCGGCGGCACCGCGUCCGGUCCUCGAGCGUAUGGGGCUUUGUCACCCGCUCUGUAGGCCCGGCCGGCGCUUGCCGAUCAACCAAAUUUUUAUCCAGGUUGACCUCGGAUCAGGUAGGGAUACCCGCUGAACUUAAGCAUAUCAAUAAGCGGAGGA